UGAUGCAGGGCAUUCCUACAGGACACGUGGCUCCUCUUGUGAAUAGCUUUGACUCAAGGACUUCCCAUUGGCCGAGUUCUUAGAACUGCACUGCAGUCUGAGAAUUUUAUUCUCAGUGCUCCGUACCCAUUCUUUCACAGAGACCAGAUCUGCAUCAUGGUUCAGUUUUCCUCUGCCACCAGACAUGUCCUGGCAAUUCCUCUUUUUGCUACUUUUUGGAGUUGUUCUCUGGAAAAUUUCCUGAUAUUGCCAGGAAGCUGCCACUUUGAAGGAUUUCAUCUCUGAAAGAGAAAGACUAGGAGGUGAGACCUUGGGAGGCCAAGUGCUGUCCGUGGCUGAGCUGGAGAGUACCUGUGUUGAGCGUGUCAUUCAUCUUAAAGUGAUUGACCAUUUAUGGGGAUGGUGAGAAGGAGAAGAGCAUAAAGCAGAUCAAUAGAAAGAAGGCAGAAAAUGGAGAAACAGGAAGAAGGAGACUGAGUUGGGGGAGUACUGGGAGAGCAAUGGAUUUGAGGAAAAGAUGAAGAUGAUAAGAUUAUGUGUGAUGGUAAAACAAGGUAAAUACCCAGUGUGGAGAGAAGAGUUUCUCAGCUGGCCAGUGAACCCAAGACUUAUGAAGUUACUGUGAUCAAAAAUAAAGUCAUUUGAACUCUGAUAGAGAAAAGAUACAUUUAAACAGCCUGGAGAAGUAGAUAUCAAUGUCUCCUGCUGCCGGACAUGGCUGUGUGGCCCAGUUUUGGACAAUGAGAGAUCAAGCUCCCUGGGCACUCCUGACUGCACAUUCUUGAUUUUCUGCCAGCCCUUGACCUUCUGGGGUAAGAUGUGAAUCGGGAGAAAGCCAGGAACCUCUACAUGGAUUUCUAUGAAGUAACUGGUGGAGAAUACACUGGAGUGGCUACUGAAUCGAUUUCCUGUGCAAGUAAAGACUAAUGCUUGGGAGAGAAAGAAAAAGAGAAAGCUACUUUGAAGAAGUGGCCUCAACAUUUAAUUAAGCAUUAUACUGGAUAAUAUUUUAAGAAGAAUAUUGAAAACUUCACUAAGAGAGCCAAAAAUCUGGUCACAUUUUCUGCAAUGGGAAGGAAAUUUUCUAAGGAGCCAACGCAGUGGUGAGGCACAGAGUGGUGAGGAGGAGAAUCAUGGGCAUGGUGACUCACAUGUGGGAUAUAGGUCAUUCAGUAUAGUUUCAGAGGUAGUUUUAGAGGAAUAGAGGAUUUUUCUAAAAGUGAGCACCUAAUUCUUAAAAACAUUAGCUUUGUGUUUAGUUACCAAAGUAGAAAUGUAUAUGUUCUGUAAUGUUAUUAUAAUCUUCAUCUACUAAAGGUAUUAAUAUUUAUUUGCUUGCUUGUUUGAAUGCUCUAAAGCUGGAGCAAUACAUGCCUUCUUCUGACAGUACUUCUGCAUCUUAGGUGUACUAACAUGUAAUUUAAUAAUGAAAUGAUCAGGAUUAUAUAAAUAUGAGGGUGAGGGUAGGAGUGGUUUUUAUUAAGCCAUUAAUUAGGUUACUUGUUGAAGUGCUUAUAGAAAGUCAAAGGCUGUCCAUUGAGUGCAGAAACCUCAUAAUUUAUUCUCAGUGCUGAAUGUAGAAAAGCCAGCCCCAUGAAUUCAGCAGAAGUGCCAUAUGGCAAUGAGAGUAAAUUGCACUGAAUGGAGGGGACAUGUGGUACUUUGAUAUUAUCUGAUGGGCCAACUCAGUCCUGAUGGCUCUGUCCUAUCCAGUGAGAGACUAAAAUAGGUCACCCACAAGGCAUACAUUGCAGUCUUUAAUUCGAUAAAUAUAUACUUAUUUGCACAGACUGCUGGAUUUCUUUUAAGUCAUGUUCCUCCCCAAGGUCAUAGGUCACAUGAGUAUAGCUUCAUCCCACAAAUGAACUCCCAAAAAUAAUAUUUUAGUGGCAUUACUGCCCAGGUGAAUAUAAACAUACAACUACUAAAUUUUUUGGUGCUGUAAAUGUUGAACUUAGAACACCAAAAGGAAAGCAAACAAACCUGGAAAACAGACUGUUAUUCCUUUAGUCUUUAGCUGUUCUCUGUUUUUAUUUUUUAUUUAUUUAUUUUUUUACUAUCUUCUGUCUUAAAGUAGUAGUUGAUACUCACUGUAUCUUUUUCCUCAUCAUGACCUCAUCACUUAAAUCCGGCUUUUAUUCCUUAUUCCUUUAAUUAAAUGUCAACCUUGAUAGACCAAAUGAUUGCCUAGUGGCUCAGUCUUGUGAUCUUUUCCAGUCUUCGUGUUCCUGUCUUUUAUAAUACCAUUUGAUACUAUUCAUUACCAUCUUCUCAAGUUUUCUGUUCUCCUAGUGCCCACAAAUUGGAAAAAUCUGUCUCCUAUGGUCUUUCUGCUUCAUUUUCCUUUCUCCUUCUCCUGUCCUCAAAUGUAGAGAGUCUCCCUAAGGUGGUCCUCAACUCUGGGACCUACUAGAGAUGUGAGGUAGUUGAAGCAAAUAGGCCUCCAGCAGAGGCAUUCAAAUAAUUCAGCUCUGACACUUACAAUUGCAAAGAAAGGGAGAGUACAAGAGCUACAGAGGGGAGGAAGAGAGACGGAGAGGAAUUUAAAUAGAGUCCCUCUUCCAUUCACUAUUUCUCCCUGUGAGCAUAUGUCUACAAGUGUGGGAGCAAUAAAUUUAUCUGUUUAGUUGAAUGUGUGCCCAGUUAUGUCUCGCACUAUGAGCAUCCAUCGCUCAGUGCUGUGUGGUUCUCAUUGUUUAAAUGGUCAGGAAGAACUUUUUUUUUUAAUUACACUUUAGUCCCUAUACUUCUCUAUCUGAAGUUUUAUUGAAGGAAGAGCU